CAGACGUGUGCACUUCAGAUCUGAAGACUCUUCCUUUUCUUCGAUGAACGGUAACGUUUUAUCAUGCCCCUAUCAAUAUGGCGGCGGCCACUAUCUUUUGGGGGCGUGACUUCACUCUUAAGGCAUAAUUUCCACUCCAGCAAUUCUUUUUAAACAUCCUUGUUUCAUAUACACCCAGCAUUCGUAUCACCACAA
rnacentral:lncRNA from 1 species